UGCUGUUACAAACGGAUUAACAGAAUUUACAUGAUAUUUAAUUUCUACCUGUAGCCCCACAAAUGCCACUAUGGAUGUCCACCUUGCAAACUGACCUGCGGAGAAGAACUUUCUUGUGGCCACAGGUGUAAAGAAAGCUCUGUGUUUCAACUUUACUGAAUGUGCCAUUGAUUCAAUGUAAAGAAAUGAAUACUACUUUCUCUGAUGUCUUAACAAUCUUUCACACACUAACCAGGUGUCAUGGCCCUAUUUCUCCUCCAAACCCUGAGUUCACACUGAAACCAACAAAAAAGAAAAUUAUAAAGCACAUAGAAUGCAUGCCUGGAACACCGUGCCCACCAUGCAAAGAGGUUGUUUUGGUGGCAUGCCAGGGACAGCAUCUUAGCCAAGAACGUGCUAUGCUUUGUUCCAAUUGGAGGCCGUUUCCCUGUCAAAAUUUAUGUCGGAAUCCUCUCCUUUGUGGCAACCAUUACUGCACAAAUCCUUGCCAUGUGUUAGAGGUCCCAUUGAAUCAGCCUGAAGGAGAUACUAUAGUAUCUAUCAGUAGAAAGAACAAACUUGCUGAGCCAUGUGAAGAAUGUGAUCUUCCUUGUCAAAGGGAAAUUACCAAAUUGCCCCCAUAUGUGCUGGAAGUAUGUCACCCUGGUACAUGCCCUUCGGUUGAUCAGUGCAUGAAGAAGAUAUGGUCUGAGGCUCUCAACAUAUUUAUAUUCACAUUUGUUUAGCGUGGAAUAACUUGAAGUAACGUGCAAGCGGUAACCAA